GCCCUUAUAGCUCAGUGGUAUGAAGCGCAUCACUCGUAUUCUUGAGGCAUGAUGAGGUCCGCGGUUCAAUCCCGCGUGAGGGCA